UUGAACGCUGGCGGCAUGCUUUACACAUGCAAGUCGAACGGUAACAGGUUAAGCUGACGAGUGGCGAACGGGUGAGUAAUGCAUCGGAACGUGCCCGAUCGUGGGGGAUAACGCAGCGAAAGCUGCGCUAAUACCGCAUACGAUCUGAGGAUGAAAGUGGGGGAUCGCAAGACCUCACGUUAUUGGAGCGGCCGAUAUCGGAUUAGCUAGUUGGUGGGGUAAAGGCUCACCAAGGCGACGAUCCGUAGCGGGUCUGAGAGGACGGCCCGCCACACUGGAACUGAGACACGGUCCAGACUCCUACGGGAGGCAGCAGUGGGGAAUUUUGGACAAUGGGGGCAACCCUGAUCCAGCCAUUCCGCGUGAGUGAAGAAGGCCUUCGGGUUGUAAAGCUCUUUCGGCAGGAACGAAACGGUGAGCUCUAACAUAGCUUGCUAAUGACGGUACCUGAAGAAGAAGCACCGGCUAACUACGU
rnacentral:rRNA from 1 species